UACGUAGGGGGCGAGCGUUAUCCGGAAUUACUGGGCGUAAAGCGCACGCAGGCGGUUCGCCAAGUUUGGAGUGACAGUUGUCGGCUCAACCGACAAAGGACUUCAAAAACUGGUGAACUUGAGGACGAGAGAGGAACAUGGAACUCCAGGUGUAGUAGUGAAAUGCGUAGAUAUCUGGAGGAACACCAAUGGCGAAGGCAAUGUUCUGGCUCGUUUCUGACGCUCAGGUGCGAAAGCCAGGGGAGCGAACGGG
rnacentral:rRNA from 1 species